GUGACUAUAGCUCAGCCGGUUAGAGCGUCUGCUUGUGGCGCAGAAGGUCGUGAGUUCGAAUCUCACUAGUCACC